rnacentral:tRNA from 1 species
GGGCCUGUAGCUUAGCCUGGUUUAUAGCACUGGUCUUAUACACCAGAGGUCGCCGGUUCAAAUCCGGUCAGGCCCACCA